GAGAUUGACUAGACAUAGUGCCACUGUCAUCCCUGCUGGAGAAGGUCCAAAGCACCUCCACCUCUGUGCUUCCAGAGGGGCAUUGUGGUGGCCACUUAAAAUGCUCAGGCUAUACCAUGCACUAGAGCAUCUACCUGGGCAAGGGAUAUGCUGUAUGACACUCUCCUGAUGCUGGGCAUGGCUGUGAGCCAAAGCACCCAGGCAGCCCUGCCAUCAGAAGGGUAAACCACGGACACCUGAUGCCUUCCUGAAGGAAGAGCACUACGCCUGCCAAACCAUCAAGCGUUGAUGCUCCAGCGCCUUCUACCCAUGGUUCUCCAGCCUCAGCAGAAGAGAGAGAAAUUGAUGACCCUGUCGUUGUAGCAUCCCCAUCACCCAGCAAUUAAUUUUAGUUCAAUGCUUCAAACGCUCUUCAGGCGCAGUGUGCGUUCAGCUGUGUCAGCUAAUGGCACUGGAGACACAGAAAUGAAAGAGACAACGUGCCCUCAAGGAUCUCACAGUGUGUGGUGAGGUGGACACACACACACAUAUCUAAGCAC
rnacentral:lncRNA from 1 species